UGGAACUUAAAGAAGGUCCACUGGACCAGUUCACACAUGAGAUGGGGCCAUUCUUGCGCAAGCAAGGAAUGCCUGUGCGCUUAAAUAAAGGAGUGGUGGAACUUGUUGGGGAUUUUGUUGUUUGUGAAGAGGGGAAACUCAUAUCGCCUGAAUCUUCUCGCAUACUGCGGUUAGUGGACAUGAAGAUGGCUACUUUAAAGCUAAACUUGAUAUGCAGAUGGAGUCCUGGA